GAUGAAGAACGCAGCGAAAUGCGAUACGUAAUGUGAAUUGCAGAAUUCAGUGAAUCAUCGAAUCUUUGAACGCAUAUUGCGCUCUCUGGUAUUCCGGAGAGCAUGCUUGUUUGAGUAUCAGUAAACACCUCAACUUCCAUAUGUUUUUUGAAAUGGGAGUUGGACUUGAGUGAUCCCAACGCUUUUCCUCACCGAAAAGUGGCGGGUUACUUGAAAUGCAGGUGCAGCUGGACUUUUCUCUGAGCUAUAAGCAUAUCUAUUUAGUCUGCCUAAAAAACAGAUUAUUACCUUUGCUGCAGCUAACAUAAACGAGAUUAGUUCUUGUGCUGACUGAUGCAGGAUUCACAAAGACAGGCUUCGGCCGACUUUGUAAACUCGAUCUCAAAUCAAGUAAGACUACCCGCUGAACUUAAGCAUAUCAAUAAGCGGAGGA
rnacentral:misc_RNA from 1 species